rfam:Folsomia candida strain VT population Fcan01_Sc004, whole genome shotgun sequence.
CCAACGGCCCUUUUAAGGGCCACCACUUUAUCCAAAGAGAUAUGGU